rnacentral:rRNA from 1 species
GACGAACGCUGGCGGCGUGCUUAACACAUGCAAGUAGAGCGGUAAGGCCUUUCGGGGUACACGAGCGGCGAACGGGUGAGUAACACGUGGGUGAUCUGCCCUGCACUUCGGGAUAAGCCUGGGAAACUGGGUCUAAUACCGGAUAUGACCUCAGGUUGCAUGACUUGGGGUGGAAAGAUUUAUCGGUGCAGGAUGGGCCCGCGGCCUAUCAGCUUGUUGGUGGGGUAAUGGCCUACCAAGGCGACGACGGGUAGCCGACCUGAGAGGGUGACCGGCCACACUGGGACUGAGACACGGCCCAGACUCCUACGGGAGGCAGC